AACGAACGCUGGCGGCAGGCUUAACACAUGCAAGUCGAACGAUCUCUUCGGAGAGAGUGGCGCACGGGUGAGUAACGCGUGGGAAUGUACCAUUUGGUAGGGAAUAGCUCCGGGAAACUGGAAUUAAUACCCUAUACGCCCUGAGGGGGAAAGAUUUAUCGCCAAAUGAUCAGCCCGCGUGACAUUAGCUAGUUGGUAGGGUAACGGCCUACCAAGGCUACGAUGUCUAGCUGGUCUGAGAGGAUGAUCAGCCACACUGGGACUGAGACACGGUCCAGACUCCUACGGGAGGCAGCAGUGAGGAAUAUUGGACAAUGGGGGAGACCCUGAUCCAGCCAUGCCGCGUGAAUGAUGAAGGCCUUAGGGUUGUAAAGUUCUUUCGCUGGUGAAGAUAAUGACGGUAACCAGUAAAGAAGCCCCGGCUAACUUCG
rnacentral:rRNA from 1 species